rnacentral:rRNA from 1 species
AGUGAACGCUGGCGGUAGGCCUAACACAUGCAAGUCGAACGGCAGCACAGUAAGAGCUUGCUCUUACGGGUGGCGAGUGGCGGACGGGUGAGGAAUACAUCGGAAUCUACUUUUUCGGGGGGGAUAACGUAGGGAAACUUACGCUAAUACCGCAUACGACCUACGGGUGAAAGCAGGGGAUCUUCGGACCUUUCGCGAUUGAAUGAGCCGAUGUCGGAUUAGCUAGUUGGUGGGGUAAGGGCCCACCAAGGCGACGAUCCGUAGCUGGUCUGAGAGGAUGAUCAGCCACACUGGAACUGAGACACGGUCCAGACUCCUACGGGAGGCAGCAGUGGGGAAUCUUCGGCAAUGGGCGCAAGCCUGAUCCAGCAAUACCGCGUGAGUGAAGAAGGCCUUCGGGUUGUAAAGCCCUUCUAUUGGGAAAGAACAGCAGCAGGUUAAUCCCCCGCUGUUCUGACGGUACCCAAAGAAUAAGCACCGGCUAACUUCGUG